rnacentral:rRNA from 1 species
UGGGGAAUAUUGCGCAAUGGGGGAAAGACCCUGACGCAGCAACGCCGCGUGAUUGAAGAAGGCCUUCGGGUUGUAAAGAUCUUUAAUUGGGGACGAAAAAUGACGGUACCCAAAGAAUAAGCUCCGGCUAACUACGUGCCAGCAGCCGCGGUAAUACGUAGGGAGCAAGCGUUAUCCGGAUUUACUGGGUGUAAAGGGCGAGUAGGCGGGCUGGCAAGUUGGGAGUGAAAUCCCGGGGCUUAACCCCGGAACUGCUUUCAAAACUGCUGGUCUUGAGUGAUGGAGAGGCAGGCGGAAUUCCGUGUGUAGCGGUGAAAUGCGUAGAUAUACGGAGGAACACCAGUGGCGAAGGCGGCCUGCUGGACAUUAACUGACGCUGAGGAGCGAAAGCGUGGGGAGCAAACAGGAUUAGAUACC